AUUGAACGCUGGCGGCAGGCCUAACACAUGCAAGUCGAACGGUAACAGGAAGCAGCUUGCUGCUUUGCUGACGAGUGGCGGACGGGUGAGUAAUGUCUGGGAAACUGCCCGAUGUAGGGGGAUAACUACUGGAAACGGUAGCUAAUACCGCAUAACGUCGCAAGACCAAAGAGGGGGACCUUAGGGCCUCUUGCCAUCGUAUGUGCCCAGAUGGGAUUAGCUAGUAGGUGGGGUAACGGCUCACCUAGGCGACGAUCCGUAGCUGGUCUGAGAGGAUGACCAGCCACACUGGAACUGGGACACGGUCCAGACUCCUACGGGAGGCAGCAGUGGGGAAUAUUGCACAAUGGGCGCAAGCCUGAUGCAGCCAUGCCGCGUGUAUGAAGAAGGCCUUCGGGUUGUAAAGUACUUUCAGCGGGGAGGAAGGGAGUAAAGUUAAUACCUUUGCUCAUUGACGUUACCCGCAGAAGAAGCACCGGCUAACUACGUG
rnacentral:rRNA from 1 species